rnacentral:lncRNA from 1 species
AUUUAUCAUGCAUAAAUGCACACAUAUAAUCAAUAUAAUAACAUCAGUACACAUAUUAUACAUUUAUGGUAGAAAUCAAAAGAUAAAUUCUCUCUUUUCUCAUUUUUUUUAUUUCCUUAAAAAUCAUUUUCUUUGAUUGAUUUUUUAAAUAAAAAACUUAGUAAUAAAAAAACAAAAUAAAAUGAAACACCAUAAAAACUAUAAACAAUAAAUUCUAAAGAUUUAUUUUGGCUAAAAAAUAAAAAUAAAUAGAUUAAAA